rnacentral:rRNA from 1 species
AACGAACGCUGGCGGCAGGCCUAACACAUGCAAGUCGAGCGCGCCCUUCGGGGUGAGCGGCGGACGGGUGAGUAACGCGUGGGAACGUGCCCUUUUCUACGGAAUAGCCUCGGGAAACUGAGAGUAAUACCGUAUACGCCCUUUGGGGGAAAGAUUUAUCGGAAAAGGAUCGGCCCGCGUUGGAUUAGGUAGUUGGUGGGGUAAUAGCCUACCAAGCCGACGAUCCAUAGCUGGUUUGAGAGGAUGAUCAGCCACACUGGGACUGAGACACGGCCCAGACUCCUACGGGAGGCAGCAGUGGGGAAUCUUAGACAAUGGGGGAAACCCUGAUCUAGCCAUGCCGCGUGAGUGACGAAGGCCUUAGGGUCGUAAAGCUCUUUCGCUGGGGAAGAUAAUGACGGUACCCAGUAAAGAAACCCCGGCUAACUACGUGCCAGCAGCCGCAGUAA